rnacentral:rRNA from 1 species
ACGGGUGAGUAACGCGUGGAUAACCUGCCUUAUACAGGGGGAUAACGGAGAGAAAUUUCCGCUAAGACCGCAUAAGACCACAGCACCGCAUGGUGCAGGGGUAAAAUAUUUAUAGGUAUAAGAUGGAUCCGCGUCCGAUUAGCUAGUUGGUGAGGUAAAGGCCCACCAAGGCGACGAUCGGUAGCCGGCCUGGGAGGGUGAACGGCCACAUUGGGACUGAGACACGGCCCAAACUCCUACGGGAGGCAGCAGUGGGGAAUAUUGGACAAUGGGGGAAACCCUGAUCCAGCGACGCCGCGUGAGUGAAGAAGUAUUUCGGUAUGUAAAGCUCUAUCAGCAGGGAAGAAAAUGACGGUACCUGACUAAGAAGCCCCGGCUAACUACGUGCCAGCAGCCGCGGUAAUACGUAGGGGGCAAGCGUUAUCCGGAUUUACUGGGUGUAAAGGGAGCGCAGACGGCAAUGCAAGUCUGAAGUGAAAGGCGUGGGCUCAACCCAUGAACUGCUUUGGAAACUGUAUAGCUUGAGUGUCGGAGGGGUAAGCGGAAUUCCUAGUGUAGCGGUGAAAUGCGUAGAUAUUAGGAGGAACACCGGAGGCGAAGGCGGCUUACUGGACGACAACUGACGUUGAGGCUCGAAGGCGUGGGGAGCAAACAGGAUUAGAU